rnacentral:tRNA from 1 species
GUACCGGUGGCGAUGUUCGACGACGCGGCGAGUUGGCGGUUCAGCGCCGCCCGGGCCACCGGCUCGGCGACUCCGGUGCCAGGCCGCACCGGCACC